CCUUUCCCAGGGACUUCCCCUACUAAAACUCUACUUUCAAGACUGCAACAUGAACAUGAGUCCCAGGCCAGUGCAUGAUUGAAGGCUGGAUGAAGGUUGCCUGCAGUGUCAAUAAUUAUGCCGAGUGUAUACAAACCAUAGGUUUAAUCACUGCCUCAUGAAUGGAGGUGUCAAGCACACACAGUGCCCCAACAUCUCUGUGUGUGCUAUUGUAUCCUUCACCCUGCCUGCAUGGUGUCUACUCCUAGACUGAGUGAAUGGAGGUGUCAGGCACACACAGGUGCAUGUGUCAGAGAGUGGGUGUCAGGAGAUGCUAUCACAUGACCUACACCAUUCUGAGCUGUACCAAUAUUGUUGGUGGUUCAUACGAUAAUUACCAGCUAAUAAUUGCCUAUUCAAAUGUUCUGUUUCAGAGGAUUUACAAAAUCUAUAGUGAAGCUCGCUCGUAAGCACAAGUUUUGAGUAUCUAAUUUCAACCCACCCCCUCCAGGAGUAUUGACGUGACUCCCUCCAGGCCUGGUGAAAUGGACCUAUCGUCUCUCUAUUAUAUAUAGCAUAUGCAGCAGCAAAGUACAACAUAUCAGUCAGCAAGAAACCACCUCACCCCAGCAAGUCCUUGUCUUUCUCACUAUCACAUGUAUGUCAAAUGUACUUGGACAACUGCCUAGGAAAAUUGCAAUCUCAUGCAGACUCUGGAAUUACAUUACUGCGAGAUUAGGAACAGUACUUGACUAAUGCAAUUAGUGGUCAUGGUUGGUUGCUCCAGCUUUGUGUACACACUAUACACACUUGUGAGGUCAAUAGCAUUUCUGCUCUUUGUUUUAACUACAUGUAAUCGGAUGGAGUGAGCUAGGCCAGUCAGCUAGGAUAAUGGUUCAUGUUCUGUACAUGUCCUCCACUAUAAUUAUAUACUGUGUUCACAUCUCUGCCUAUAGAUCUAGUCGGUACUAGAUCAAUUUCAAAAAGCCUGCAUGGUUGCAUACGCUAGGAUUGAAUUACCCACACAAAUAGACCACUUAUUUUAGGGCCUAUACAUAGCAUCAUCUCAGAUGUAUCUGCCCCCGCCCCCCCGCAGUUUUUUCCUGAACUCAGCCGAUUUGGUAUAGCUUUUCUUUGUGGCCCGUAUUCAAUUUGCGUGUUGCAGUAAAUUCCCACUCUGUCAUUACUCACUCCCCCACAAUCUGGGUCACUUAGAGUGUGUGGGUGUGGGUGUGUGGGUGUGUGUAUGUGUGUAACUGUACAAUAAUUAUUAUGCUCUGAAAUUGUCGUUUACCAUUAUUA